GGGAAAGCAACAAAAAAAAUACAAUUCAUAUGAUUAAAAAGUUAUUAGAUUAUAUGUAUGCAGAGGUGUGAGUUUAAAUCAAUCGUUAGUUGAUUUAGUGGUGAUUGAUGUUGAACUUGGUAGGAAGGACCACAACUCAAUUAUCCACAACUGCAAUCAGAAGGGGGCUAUAACCACUUAAUUGCAGAACUAAUUCCUAAAUCAGAUUAAAC
rnacentral:lncRNA from 1 species